UGCGAUCUCGCGCAUGCAAAUAGAUUAUUUCGAUGGUAGAUUGGACUACCUGGCUUUCCGGGUAACAGGGAAUUAGGGUUCGAUUCUGGAGAAGGAGCCUGAGAAACGGCUACUACAUCUACGGAAGGCAGCAGGCGCGUAAAUUACCCAAUCCUGACUCAGGGAGGUGGUGACAAGAUAUAAUGACGCUAUGAAAAAUAGUUGAUUAUAGUGAGGGUAUUCCAAACCGAACCACAAGUACGAUUAGAGGGCAAGUCUGGUGCCAGCAGCCGCGGAGAACCACAGCACUAAUAGCGUAUAUUAAAGUUGCUGCAGUUAAAAAGCUCGUAGUUGGAUUUCAAGGAACACGUAUUCCCCCGGAAUAUGUGCCCUACUAGCCCUUUCGGCUGUUAACUGUGAGAAAAUUAGAGUGUUUAAAGCAAGCUUUUGCAAGAAUACAUUAGCAUGGAAUAACGAAUGAGUCUAGAAUCUAGGUUAAUUCUAGAUCUCGAUUAAUAGAGACAGUUGGGGGCAUUAGUAUUUAAUUGUCAGAGGUGAAAUUCUUGGAUUUGUUAAAGACUAACGUAUGCGAAAGCAUUUGCCAGGGAUGUUUUCAUUAUCAGGACGAAGGAUAGGGGAUCAAGACAUCAGAUACUGUCGUAGUCUAUCUAUACUAUGCGACUAGGGAUGGAUGCAUCCAUCAGUACCUUAGGAAUCAGCUUGGUCUGGGGGGAUAGGUCCCGAACUGACUUAAAAUGCGGGAGGCACAC
rnacentral:rRNA from 1 species